UGCCGCUCACGCCCGGUCGU
rnacentral:snRNA from 1 species